GGAACACUGACGUCAUGCUUUCCUUUAUGCGGCGUUUCUCGUCGCAUAGGCAGCAGGAGAUACUUACACGACAUAUGGAGGUUUUAGGAUUGGUUUAUGUCGGUUUUUGAACUGCUGAACUGUACGUGUUAGUCACCUGCCUGGAUUUGAAAUAGCAACUCUACCCUUUGACCUACUGGCAACUUGAUUCUGCACCCCGGGAAGGAUCACAUAUAACCUAAAAUGACAAAACCCAUUCUGGAGAAGUCCAUAGGAAGAAGAGAACAGCCACAUCUACUCGUAGAAACCUUUGGCUUUUUUUCCACUUGGUGUAACGUUGGCUGUUGUUCUGUUCGUGAUGAUCCUGUUCCUUGAGGGUAGCUGUGUUUUAAAUGGUGCUGCAUGGAAACAGUUUGAAUACACAAAAAAACUAAGCAAACAGCAUAUGUUAGAAUGCUAAAUUAUUCAGACUGUGAUUGUCCUUCUGAAUGGAGUGACUGCAAUAAAUUUGACAAUGUUGUUGUAUGUUGUGUGACGUUUCUCUUAGGGUAGGUUGCUGCAGUGCUGUAGUGGACUUAAAAAAUGGACUUAAACAAUGUACAGCGUAAGAUGAGACUGAGACGUGUAGUUGGAUAAAGGAUGUUUCACUAUCAAAUUAUCAUUAUGAAUUGUACAGGAACCUGACCAUCAUUUGGGAAAGAGGGUUAGAAAAUGGACGGAAGGUUCUGUG